UACGUAGGUGGCAAGCGUUGUCCGGAAUUAUUGGGCGUAAAGCGCGCGCAGGCGGUCCUUUAAGUCUGAUGUGAAAGCCCACGGCUCAACCGUGGAGGGUCAUUGGAAACUGGGGGACUUGAGUGCAGAAGAGGAAAGUGGAAUUCCAGGUGUAGCGGUGAAAUGCGUAGAUAUCUGGAGGAACACCGGUGGCGAAGGCGGCAUCCUGGACCGGUAUUGACGCUGAUGCGCGAAAGCCAGGGGAGCAAACGGG
rnacentral:rRNA from 1 species